GCCCCCUCCAUUACAUUACCAUAUAUAAAAACGGGAAGAUAAUGGUUGUUAUGACACAUUAUUUGGGUUACAAUGAUCCGUUUAUGAUAUGAGUUCUAUUGUUUCUCUAAUAAAAAUUGAUUUUGAAAAAUCAUUUUUUUCCAUCAAUUUUCCUUUAAAAAAGAUUAUAUGUUCCCCUAAAAAAAAUAAUUUUCUUCAAGCAAAUAGUUAUUGGAAAAAAUAACCAUUAUAUUUUUUGUAAUUGCCUAUUAUUUUCCAUUAUAACAUCAUUAUAAGGGCCAUUACAAUGUGAUAUUAAUAUUAAAAAUAUUGAAAUGAUAACCGUUGAAGCAAAUAACAGCUGUUAUAACUAUUAUAAUUGUUGUGGGGGGUUUAGUCCCAC
rnacentral:lncRNA from 1 species